rnacentral:rRNA from 1 species
AUUGAACGCUGGCGGCAUGCUUUACACAUGCAAGUCGAACGGCAGCGCGGGCUUCGGCCUGGCGGCGAGUGGCGAACGGGUGAGUAAUGCAUCGGAACGUGCCCAGUAGUGGGGGAUAGCCCGGCGAAAGUCGGGUUAAUACCGCAUACGACCUGAGGGUGAAAGCGGGGGACCGAAAGGCCUCGCGCUAUCGGAGCGGCCGAUGUCGGAUUAGCUAGUUGGUGGGGUAAAGGCUUACCAAGGCGACGAUCCGUAGCUGGUCUGAGAGGACGACCAGCCACACUGGGACUGAGACACGGCCCAGACUCCUACGGGAGGCAGCAGUGGGGAAUUUUGGACAAUGGGGGCAACCCUGAUCCAGCCAUGCCGCGUGCGGGAAGAAGGCCUUCGGGUUGUAAACCGCUUUUGUUCGGGAAGAAAUCCUCUGGGCUAAUACCCCGGGGGGAUGACGGUACCGGAAGAAUAAGCACCGGCUAACUACGUG